rnacentral:rRNA from 1 species
UACAGAGGGGGCAAGCGUUGUUCGGAAUUACUGGGCGUAAAGGGCGCGUAGGCGGCCUGUUAAGUCGAACGUGAAAUCCCCGGGCUCAACCCGGGAACUGCGUCCGAGACUGGCAGGCUCGAAUCCGGGAGAGGGAUGUGGAAUUCCAGGUGUAGCGGUGAAAUGCGUAGAUAUCUGGAGGAACAUCGGUGGCGAAGGCGGCAUCCUGGACCGGUAUUGACGCUGAGGCGCGGAAAGCCAGGGGAGCAAACGGGG